ACAUUCCUGAUUAUGAUUCAACAGGGGUUAAAUCCAUGCCCCAAGGGAGAUAUCAUAUCAGCAUGUGAUCCAAGAGGAAAUAGAAAGAUGCAUGAUGGGCCGCUCUGGAUUUCGCUUGUGUAUUUCUGAUGCAUCUUCCAGAGUCCAUACUUGGAAGAGGUGCUGAUGCUUGAU